rnacentral:ncRNA from 1 species
CGUAACGAGCGCGGCUGUGACUUCGGGACGAAAUCGGUCACCACGCCUUCGCGGCUCUUGAGUCUGCGAGGCGUCACCCGAAGUAGCCAAUGGUGAGACCGGCGCCCGGGAACG